GACGAACGCUGGCGGCGCGCCUAACACAUGCAAGUCGAACGAGAGAUGAGGAGCUUGCUCUUCAAAUCGAGUGGCGAACGGGUGAGUAACGCGUGAGGAACCUGCCUCAAAGAGGGGGACAACAGUUGGAAACGACUGCUAAUACCGCAUAAGCCCACGGCUCGGCAUCGAGCAGGGGGAAAAGGAGCAAUCCGCUUUGAGAUGGCCUCGCGUCCGAUUAGCUAGUUGGUGAGGUAACGGCCCACCAAGGCGACGAUCGGUAGCCGGACUGAGAGGUUGAACGGCCACAUUGGGACUGAGACACGGCCCAGACUCCUACGGGAGGCAGCAGUGGGGAAUAUUGCACAAUGGGGGAAACCCUGAUGCAGCGACGCCGCGUGGAGGAAGAAGGUCUUCGGAUUGUAAACUC
rnacentral:rRNA from 1 species